rnacentral:tRNA from 2 species
UCCUGGUUAGUUCAGUUGGCAAAGCGCUUCACUGGAAAUGGAGAGGUACCGGGUUCGAUAGCCGGACCAGGCG